rnacentral:rRNA from 1 species
UACAGAGGGUGCAAGCGUUGUUCGGAAUUACUGGGCGUAAAGGGCGUGUAGGCGGUCUAGCAAGUCAGAUGUGAAAUCCCGGGGCUCAACUCCGGAAGUGCAUUUGAAACUGCUAAGCUAGAGUGCAGUAGAGGAUGGCGGAAUUCCCAGUGGAGAGGUGAAAUUCGUAGAUAUUGGGAGGAACACCGGUGGCGAAGGCGGCCAUCUGGGCUGUAACUGACGCUGAGGCGCGAGAGCGUGGGGAGCAAACAGG